rnacentral:snRNA from 1 species
GUGCUCGCUUCAACAGCACAUAUGCUAAAAUUGUAAUGAUACAGAAAAGAUCAGCAUAUCUGUGAAAAGAUGACUUUGCUUUAGUGUUUCAUAUGUCU